rnacentral:sRNA from 1 species
UUUAAAAUAUUUAUUUAUUUACUUAAAGAUGGAGUCUAGCUCUGUCGCCCAGGCUGGAGUGCAGUGGCACGAUCUCGGCCCACUACAACCUCCGCCUCCCAGGUUCAAGCGAUUCUCCUGCCUCAGCCUCCCGAGUAGCUGGGAUUACAGGCACCCGCCACCACACCUGGCCAAUUUUUGUAUUUUUAGUAAAGAAGAGGUUUCACCAUGUUGGCUAGGAUGGUCUCGAUCUCCUGAUCUCGUGAUCCACCCACCUCAGCCUCCCAAAGUUCUGGGAUUACAGGCAUGAGCCACCAUGCCUGGCCAAUAUUUAUUAUUUUUAUUUUUUAGAGACAGAGUCUCACUGAGUUGCCCAGGCUGGAGUGCAGUGGUGCAGUCAUAGCUCACUGCAGCCUUGACCUCCUGGGCUCAAGCGGUCGCCCAACCUUAGCCUCUCAGAGUGCUGGGAUUACAGAUGUACUCCACUGUGCCUACUUUUUAAAAUUUCUGUAGAGAUCAGGUCUUGCUAAGUUUACCCUUUUAAAGUGAGCAGCUCAGUGGUUGUUAGGCCACCACCUCUAAUUCCAGAACAUUCUCAUCACCCCCAAAUGAAACGCUGUCCCCAUCAGCAGUCACUCUGCAUCCCCUUCCGAGCCCCGGUGCCCACACCUCCCCUCCCUGUCUCUGUGGAUGGGCCCAUCCUGGACAUUUCACAGAAACAGGAUCACACGCCGCGUGGCCUUCUGUGUCCGGCGUCUCUCACUGAGCGCGACGUCCUCAAGGUGCAUCCGUGCUGUGGCCUGUGUCCGAGCCUCGCCCCUUUUCUUGGCUGAAUAAUAUCCCACUGUGUGGACACAUUACUAAUCUAAUUCUAAACAGUUAAUUAGAAUAUUCCAUAGUUUUCAGAACCGUCUCCCACUGCUGGGCAUUCAGGGUAUGUCCAUUUUUACGGCUGUGGGAAGCAGUGCUGGGAGUGGAGUCUGUGUGGUCUCCUGGGGUUUCCAGCUCCCUGCCCCGGGUGGACCCCAGCGCCUCACUGACAGAGCCGGAAUCAGGCGAGGGUGAGGCUCAGCCGCCCCAUAGACAGGGGCUGGGUGUUGGCACUGUGGCUGUCUGAAGUGGCUUUUUGUUGACACAUGUGAUCUGACACGUCCCAGCCCCGGGAAUCGGUGGUCAGGAGCCCCCUCGGGAGGGGAGCACUUUUCCCCGAGUUAUCAGCCACGUGUGAGCUUGCGCCCCACGGGUCCCACAGAGGCUCUGGGAGCCUGUGCGUGUUUGCUCAUUGCUUCUCCGUGACAAGUUCCAGCCUCGUAGGUGCCUGGCCUGCAGUUGAAGGCGGGUGGGGAUGGGGCGAGGCCUCGUGGAGGGAGGGUGGACAGGGCGGGUCCUGGGCAGGUGCUCCUCACGGCGCCUCCCCCACAGCUGCGAGGAGGGAGGGUGGGCAGGCGGGUCCUCGGCACACUCCCCUCACAGUGCCUCCCCCACAGCUGCGCCAACGGAGGAGGCUACUACCACUACUCCUACUCGGUGGUGAGGGGCUGCGACCGCAUCGUGCCCGUGGACAUCUACAUCCCAGGUAGGGCCGGGACCGCACCGCCCACGAGGAAGCUGGAGACAGGGCCAGCGCCACACGGAGCCCGGCGGCCCCUGUGAGGGAGUCCCACACCCCCAGCAGACGGCGGGCUCCCCCAUCCUAUGGAUGGGCCGACUCGGAGCGCUGCCUCUUAGUGGAGUGUGUCCCCUGUGAGAAGUCGGCGAUGUAUUCAGGCAUCAGAGGGAUCAGAGGGAGCAGGGGAAGCUGAGUGGAAUUCCUGACACUCGCCUGGUUUACAGCAGUUUCAUAUGGUCCUACCUGGCACAAACCAAAGACCUGCAGUUAGAAAUACCAAGAGAGAAGGUUCCUGGGGGCCAAGGACACUGUCCCGCGCCCUCAGCCUUACAGAAGGGCACGCAGGACUCCCUGGGACCCGGGGUGGCCGGAUUUGGCAAAUGAAAACGUGGGAGGCUUAGUUUGACUGUGAGGUUAGGGUGAAUUUGACCAUCAGGAAAACUGUUAGUAGUAAUUGUUUAGUACGAGUAUAUCCCAACAAUAUUUGGGCUAUACUGACACUACAAAGAGCAUUGGCUGCAUACCUGAAAUUCACAUCGCACCGGGAACAUUCUUUAUAUCUGGUGAUCCCGUGGGACUCUUGCACCUCACGUGGUCCCACGAGGGCCACCCCCCCGGGCGUUCACCUUGACAGUGGUCCACGGUAGGCAGGCUUGGAGGUGGUGCUCAUGUGGGACAGGGGACAGAGUCCUGUCCUUGGCCACCCUGUGCUGCGUGCGGCAUUAGCUCAUGCGCAGAGAGCCCAGCCCUGUGUCCCGAGUCUGGGGGUUUGGGCAAGCGAGAGGCACAUCCUGGUGCCUCUCAAAAGUGGAGGAACAGGCUCUGACUUUGGAUUCCGCUUCCCUGGAAAGGGCGUUGAUUUGUUCAGCGUUCUGCACGGUUCAGGUCACCCCGGGGGCAGUGGAGAGGGCAGCCUGGGCCUCCCCGUGACUUGACAGCACAGAGAGGUCCAUCCCGGGGUCAGGAGCUCAGCCCAUGCCCCUGGCGUCUUCCCCUGCAGUGCAGACCAAUGGGGCAAGUUGCGAGUGUGGACUGUACUCCUCCCUCCUUGCAGACUGAGCUCCUCCCUCCCUGCGGACCAUGCUCCUCCCUCCCUGGGGACCGCGCCCCUCCCUCCCUGGGGACUGCGCUCCUCCCUCCCUGCAGACCGCGCUCCUCCCUCCCUGGGGACCGAGCCCCUCCCUCCCAGCGGACCGUGCUCCUCCCUCCCUGGGGACCUCGCUCCUCCCUCCCUCCCUGCGGACUGUGCUUCUCCCUCCCUUGGAGCAGCCUGGACUUGCCAGAGCUCUGCCAGGUGGGGCCUGGCCGCCCUUUCCCAGGCCCUGCAGUGGCCUUGUCCUUUCUCACCUGUUUCCACUCCCGCUGUCCCCGUUGGGCCCUGGGCUUCGUCCUCUUGCUCAAGCCCUUUGCUCUGAACCUGCGUGGCAGCCGGGACUGGGGGAUCCCCAGCAAAGAGCUCUGGCUUGAGGCUCAGAAAGAGGGUCAUCGGGUCCUAGUGGGAUGCCCGGGCUCUGGGCCACCUCCCCUCCCUCCGCCCAGCCUCCCUGCCUCCAUCUCCGUCCAGGGCAGCCCCGGGCCCUGCUCCCCACGUCUGCUGAGCGCUGGCCCCCAUGGAGUCCUGAGGGCUGGGGCCGGGGGCCGGGUUAGUGAGGUCAGCGUCUUGUCCGAGAGGUCCCUGUGACAGCCCGGGAUGAGCCACGGGUGGAGGGCAGUGGGGCCUUGCCCAGGGGAGGACCCCACUCUUCCUGCAGGGACCUCCCCUGCGCCGGCUCCCAGCCCCUGGCACUGCGCCCACCCAGGGCUGUCAGCCUCCACCUUCAGAGGCCGGCCCGGGAGACCCCUCCAAAGCCGAGCCGGCUGCGCUGUGCACGCGGUCACGCGGGCUCCGGCUGCGGGAAGCGAGACUGAGGCAAGGUCCCUGCAGGCUGCCCACCUACGGCCGAGGCCCUGCUCUAUGGCAUCCUGCAGCUGCAGAGGAAGAUCAAGCGGGAGCGGAGGCUGCAGAUCUGGUACCGCAGGUAGCGCCGCCGCCGGAGCCUGUCGCUGUCCUGUCCCCAGCCUGCUUGUGUCCCGUGAGGUUGUCAGUAAACCUGCCCUCGGGCUGCCGCC